rnacentral:rRNA from 1 species
GGUCGAAAGCUCCGGUGCCCAAGGAUGGGUCUGCGGCCUAUCAGGUAGUAGUGGGUGUAGCGUACCUACUAGCCUACGACGGCUACGGGUUGUGAGAGCAAGACCCCGGAGAUGGAUUCUGAGACACGAAUCCAGGCCCUACGGGGUGCAGCAGGCGCGAAAACUUUACAAUGCUGGAAACAGCGAUAAGGGAACCUCGAGUGCCAGGUUACAAAUCUGGCUGUCGUGAUGCCUAAAAAGCAUUGCAUAGCAAGGGCCGGGCAAGACCGGUGCCAGCCGCCGCGGUAACACCGGCGGCUCGAGUGGUAACCGUUAUUAUUGGGUCUAAAGGGUCUGUAGCCGGCCGGAUAAGUCUCUUGGGAAAUCCAGCAGCUCAACUGUUGGGCUUUCAGGAGAUACUGUCUGGCUCGAGGCCGGGAGAGGUGAGAGGUACUUCAGGGGUAGGGGUGAAAU